UUCCUUAGUAACGGCGAGCGAAGUGGGAACAAGCCCAGGUCUGAAAUCUCCCAGCUGGCAAUUGACACGGUUGGGCGAAUUGUGGUCUGGAGAGGCAGACUGUCCCGAUCCACUGCUGCUGAGCCCGAAGUUGACUUGGAACGGCACGCCAAAGAGGGUGAGAGCCCCGUAGGGCCCGGAAAUCGGUAGCAGCGGGACGAGGGUCUGUACUCGUAGAGUCGGGUUGUUUGGGAAUGCAGCCCUAAGUGGGUGGUAGACUCCAUCCAAGGCUAAAUACGGGCGCGAGACCGAUAGCUGACAAGUACCGUGAGGGAAAGGUGAAAAGCACUUUGAAGAGAGAGUUCAAUAGACCGUGAAACCGUUGGGAGGGAAGCUCAGGGUGUCGAGGUUGUCGUGCACUGUUCGAGUUCAGCUGGUGGUAACAGUUUUCUGUUGCUGCUGGUGCAUUCUCUUAUGGUGUUUGACCGUCAGUUGGGAAGAGACGGAGGUCUGUACCGUCAGCAGCCGGGAGGUACGCCCUGAGUUUCCGUCAGGUGCUCGGGGUGACGUACAGCCGUCCUGUUGUGGUCUCUGUCGUCUUUCAGGUGCGUUGGAUGUCUGUUCGUCCAGAAAUGGAAGGUGCAGUCUCCCGUAGUGGGGGAUCGGGCCAUUCACAAGGUUGCUCUGCGUUGUUUAGCC
rnacentral:rRNA from 1 species